CCCACUCCUUCUCGGCACCCAGUUCAAGGCUUUUCCUGGGAGCCCGUGCACAGUAAAGAGCCAGGAGAUGCUUUUCCAGGUGUCUCUCCCUCCAAAGCAGGGAACCAGGGCUCUUCUGCGGUUUUCUGCUGUGUGGAGGCUCCUGGUGAUGCUCUGAGCAAGGCCACAGUGGUCAGAGGUCCAGGCAGUCACUCAGGCUCAGGGCUCUGCAGGACAGGUCUCAGCAGCAGCUGGACACUCUCCAAAGACCCACCACCCCUUCUCCAGCUCUGGCUUUUCUCCCUCUCUUGGCCCUGGGCUGGCACUGGGUGUUCUGGAGAACAGAGGUGUUUUUCAAGGCUCAGGACAUUGUAUAGGAUGGGAAAAAGCCUUUUCUGCACUUCCCUCCCUGAUGGUUAUCUCAGAAAGCAUUACAAGCUCACUAAACGCUCACAGCCAGCACCACAUUGCGCAACACAUGGGAAAAGGGAAAAAGAAAGAAGGGGAAACUCAGAAGAAACGUAACAGAGGAUGUGCCCACCAAGAGUCCAGCUGCAAAGUUCCCACUUGCCAUCAAGUUCAGCAUCUUGGAUUUGUGACAUCCCCAGAAGAGAGGGGCUCGGAUGAGGCACAGCAAGACCCCUUCAUCCAUGGAAGGAGUAAGCGAGGGAAGCUGGGAGACAGAUGUGCAGCUGAUGCAAACACAAAUCCUCCUAAUGAGCUCACUGGAGCUGAACCAGUUCCAUCAGCAGAAGAAAUUUCCCUUUUUCCCCAGGUGACCUGCAGCCUGGCUCACUCAUACCGAGUCUGA
rnacentral:lncRNA from 1 species